ACUUCAUUGUGGAAAAUCAUGGACACUUCUAAGAUAAUUUGAAUGCACAUAAGUGGCUUUAUAGAAAUAGUUAUCAGCUCUAGUUAUAGUCUACCAAUUCGUCAUAUGGGAGGAGCUGUACCAAACUACUGGGGUUUUAUCGAUGGAACUAUUAGAGAAACUUGUUGACAAAGUAUCAUCACUAUGUAAAAUAUCAGUCUACUUUAUGUACUUGUUUGAAUGGAAGU